CCAUCUCAUUGGUGAAUUUGGAGGAGUGGGUGGGAUUAAGGGUAGCUGUGCGGCCAAAGAAAGGAAGCACGAAGCGAGGCAAAGUCUUAGCAGCGGGCGUGACCGUGGCCCGGGGGACCGUUGGGAAGCCGGUACGGGGGCGGGGCUCAGAGGCGGGGCCGGGGCGGGGCGACCGUUGGGACCUGGCAACUGUUGGCCUUGAGCGCCGGGGUCGGGCGGCGGGACAUCGGUGGCCUCGCUACACUCACUUGGCUGGGGAGAUCGGCGCUCCGCCGUUGAAGAAGCAUCUGUAGGGAAUACAGAAGGAAAAUUCAUGAAGAUGUUACAGACCUGGAAGAACAUCACAAGCACUGAGCUGAGUACUGAACCAGAAAGGCGAUAAUGAGGACCAAAAUGGUGUCAGCUUUUCUGGCUUCAUACAUGAGCAGCCAGCUUUAAUGAUGAAAGUGAUCUCAUUAGUGCACUAAAUUACAUAUUGCCAUUUUUUUCACAGGGAAAUCUAGAAGAGGUAGAAUCAACAUGGUUAUUGUUCAUUGAACUGUUUUUUUUCCAAUUUGCAAAAUGGAAAUAAUUCCCAUGGUAAUUUGAAAGAUGAUACAAGGAGACCCCUCUUAAACCUGGGUUUCAUAGCCUGGCACCCGGCACAUUGGUCCACAAUCUUUUGAAUCUGGGCUGUUUGAUGCGGGAACCGGAGGCAGGCCGACUCGAGGAGGCUGAGUAGUUUCUUCUUGCCUAAAUGGUUGGCUCGAUGUAAAUUGGAGAAGAGAAACAGUCCUAACUUUUCAGGAAGGAUCAGCCGCCCUUCGAUAUCACGAUACCAGCCUUGCUGGUUGGACUCUGGGCAUCGGUGAUCUUAGAUCCACUGUCUGUCUUCCGGGGUGUACUUGGGUCGUGGAGGCCAAAGCAGCAUUUCGGGCCGCUAUGUCCGCACACCAGUUCCCCAUAGCUUCUGGAGUCUGGGCAGAUUGGUGACCAGGAACAUGUACUACCGCCACAGCUUGGGGCUUCUGCACCACAGUCAGUAGUCUCUGGAUCUCCGGGAGGUUACGUAACUCCUUUCCUUCCGCUGUAAUGAAACCCCUUUCCCAGUAGAUGGCACCAUGUACAUGGACAGUGCCAAAAGCAUAACGGCUGUCGGUAUAAACAGUCACUCGUUUUCCCUCAGCCCGCUCGAGUGCCUCUGUCAGCGCGAUCAGUUUGGCCUUCUGGGCUGAGGUCCCUGGG
rnacentral:lncRNA from 1 species